rnacentral:rRNA from 1 species
GACGAAGGGGGCUAGCGUUGUUCGGAAUUACUGGGCGUAAAGCGAGUGUAGGUGGUUGUCCAAGUUGGAUGUGAAAGCCUUGAGCUCAACUCAAGAAAUGCAUUCAGGACUGGGCGGCUAGAGGACCGGAGAGGAUAGUGGAAUUCCCAGUGUAGUGGUGAAAUACGUAGAGAUUGGGAAGAACACCAGUGGCGAAGGCGGCUAUCUGGACGGUUUCUGGCACUAAGGCGCGAAAGCUAGGGGAGCAAACGGG